UGGGGAAUAUUGCACAAUGGGGGAAACCCUGAUGCAGCGACGCCGCGUGAGCGAAGAAGUAUUUCGGUAUGUAAAGCUCUAUCAGCAGGGAAGAAAAUGACGGUACCUGACUAAGAAGCCCCGGCUAACUACGUGCCAGCAGCCGCGGUAAUACGUAGGGGGCAAGCGUUAUCCGGAUUUACUGGGUGUAAAGGGAGCGUAGACGGCAGCGCAAGUCUGAAGUGAAAGCCCGGGGCUCAACCCCGGAAUGGCUUUGGAAACUGCGCGGCUAGAGUACCGGAGGGGUAAGCGGAAUUCCUAGUGUAGCGGUGAAAUGCGUAGAUAUCAGGAGGAACAUCGGUGGCGAAGGCGGCUUGCUGGACGAUGACUGACGCUGAGGCUCGAAAGCGUGGGGAGCAAACAGG
rnacentral:rRNA from 1 species